UACAGAGGUCCCAAGCGUUGUUCGGAUUCACUGGGCGUAAAGGGUGCGUAGGUGGCGGGGUAAGUCGGAUGUGAAAUCUCGGAGCUCAACUCCGAAAUGGCAUUGGAAACUACCCUGCUAGAGGGUCGGAGGGGGGACUGGAAUACUUGGUGUAGCAGUGAAAUGCGUAGAUAUCAAGUGGAACACCAGUGGCGAAGGCGAGUCCCUGGACGACUCCUGACACUGAGGCACGAAAGCUAGGGGAGCAAACAGG
rnacentral:rRNA from 1 species